GAUGAACGCUGGCGGCGUGCCUAAUACAUGCGAGUCGAGCGAACGGACGAGGAGCUUGCUCCUUUGACGUUAGCGGCGGACGGGUGAGUAACACGUGGAUAACCUACCUAUAAGACUGGGAUAACUUCGGGAAACCGGAGCUAAUACCGGAUAAUAUAUUGAACCGCAUGGUUCAAUAGUGAAAGACGGUUUUGCUGUCACUUAUAGAUGGAUCCGCGCCGCAUUAGCUAGUUGGUAAGGUAACGGCUUACCAAGGCAACGAUGCGUAGCCGACCUGAGAGGGUGAUCGGCCACACUGGAACUGAGACACGGUCCAGACUCCUACGGGAGGCAGCAGUAGGGAAUCUUCCGCAAUGGGCGAAAGCCUGACGGAGCAACGCCGCGUGAGUGAUGAAGGUCUUCGGAUCGUAAAACUCUGUUAUUAGGGAAGAACAAAUGUGUAAGUAACUAUGCACGUCUUGACGGUACCUAAUCAGAAAGCCACGGCUAACUACGUG
rnacentral:rRNA from 1 species